rnacentral:lncRNA from 1 species
AAAAAUAUUUGCUUCUUAUUGAUUAGCUUUUUUUUUUUUUAACACAAAACAGAGAUGUUCACUGUGACCUCAAGUGGAUUCUUCUCCACCAAUCCAAAAUUUUAUCCCAGGAGACACCAGCAAUCAUUUGCAGGAGAUAUUGAUCAACCAGAGAAUGCACAUUUCUGAACCAGAUCCCUGGUGAGGUUGAUGGGACAGUAGCAGGAAGCUUGUUUUGUGGAUUUGGAAAUGAAAACCCAAGAGAGUCUGAGAAGCCCUAUGUGCCACAAGUCCUCUGUCUGCCCCCGGCCACUGCCAGCAUCACGAGGCCAGCAAACAGACUCUGGAAAAAGAAGAACUCUCCUGUGGCUGCUGUCCAUACCACCUUGUGGUUGCAGAAGCAAAGCAGGGCUAGACCUGAUCUCUGGGUGCUCCAGAGGCCACCCCAGGGGACCGGGGUGCUUUGAAAUGGUGGGGCCUGUGACUCAUGUCCUGGCAUCCCCUCUUCUGAAACACCUGCCACCAUGA